rnacentral:rRNA from 1 species
CUACUACMGAUUGAAUGGCUUAGUGAGGCUUUCGGAUUGGAUCUGAGCAGCUGGCAACAGCAGCUUGGAACUGAAAAGUUAUCCAAACUUGGUCAUUUAGAGGAAGUAAAAGUCGUAACAAGGUUU